GUCCUGUCUGGCUUUUCCAUUGUUGUACCUGAAGUAUUAGCAGUGGGUGUCACCCAAAGUAGCAUAGUUGAAAUACAGAUACAUAGUCAAUAUUCCUAACUUCAGAUACAGAAAUGAUACAGGCACACAAAUUGGAUAAUUGCGUUCAGUAAAUCAUAGCCUUUCCAAUGAUAUCUCACAUAAGCCACUUGCAUAAAGUAUAUCUCAGUUAUGUCAUAUUCAUAUCAUAAGCAUAUUUUCAUAAAGAAUAUGGAAUGAAAUGUUACACUUCC